AACGACACCUAAUCCAUCUCCCCCUCCCUCGUCUACCAGCCCUCCUCCGGUCCACCCUCCCUCCUUCCCCCGUCGCCAACCUCCAGCCUCGUCCCACACCGAUCGCGCCGGAGAUGCUGGGCGUCGCGCGGAGGCGGCUCGGAUCCAGAUGCGUGAGUGCUCCCUGCUCCCCCGUCACCGCGCUCUCCUCGCCUGGGUCGGGUCUCGCCGUCCCGGUUUCCUCUCGGUCUCAACGUGAUCCGUUUUCCCUCGGCUCCGCGCAGGUGCUCGGCCAGCUGGCGCAGGCCCUCCGCCCGGCGGCCGCCGCCGCGGCUCCAGCGAGGACCUACUCCGCCGCCGCCAAGGAGGUGAGCGCUUCGCAACCAAUGACCCUGCGAUCCCGCGCGUCGCGUCGGUGCGCAUGCGCUGUCGAAUCUAUUCCCGUUUCGGAACUACUGUAUUUUUUUUUUGCUUCCCCCACGAUGGGGGAAUGGGAAUCGUCUCGUCGUUGCCAGCUCCCGCAUGCUGCGGUGCUGCCAAUGUUUUGCGGGCCGCUGGAUUGCUCGCCGUGAAAUUCUCUCCUUAGAUGGUAGAAUAAAACCCUUUUUUAUUUGCUUUCAAUUUAGAUGCAAAUGGCAGGAGCUUCGUGAUGGUGAUUGGUGUUUGUUGUUGAGCUUGAGCUUGAUGGAUUUCGGAUGCUUGUAGCUGUAAAGGGAAACGGGUUAGGUGGCAGGUAUCUAAUAAGUGGUUGGGUGAUGGCUUGCAGCUGUGUGCAUAAUAGAGAUAAUUGGUUUGCUCGCGGUUCAAACCGGUGCAGUUUUGGACUAUGGACAUUUCAGCACAAUUACUGUUUAGAUGAGACCAUGGGAAUCUGAAUGGUAGCUAUCCCGGUUGGCUUAACUGUGUGCUGAGUAGAUGGUGCUGGAUGUUUAGUGUGUGCACUAUAUAGGACUUGAUGAUUUAGUUGCAAUGGAAGAACCUGAUCACCUUAUCCUUUUGUUCCAAUACCUGCCCCUGAGGAGGUGCACCACCACCAUCAUCAGGUACCAUGACAUUUGACCUCUAAAUUGAAUAUUACAAUGAAACGGGUAGGUGGUAGGCAUCUAAGUGGUUGGUUGAUGGAGCAGUUGUGUAUAAUACAUAUAAUUAGUUUGCUCGCAAUUGAAACCGAUGCAGUUGUAGAGUAUGGACAUUUCAUUACAGGUUCUGUUUAGAUAUGUGGAGAACGUCUGACACCAUGUGAAUCUGAAUGGUAGAUAGAUGUUUAGUGUGUGCACUAUAGGACUUGAUGAUUUAAUUAUGAUGGCAGAACCUGAUAAUCUUAUCAUAUGCUGUUACUUGUUCCAAUACCUGCUCCUGAGGAGGUGGCAUCAGCAUCACGUACUGUGACAUGUCACCUCUAAAGUGAAGAUUAGAAACGCUGAAGGAGGGUGAAAAAAAUUGACCAAGUUGGAAUAACUGAACCAAACCAUGGCAUAAUAAGUCGACUUUGGGGAUUGGAUAGUUUCUGCAGAUAGUAUUAUUAAGUUCCCAUUCCCUGUGUGGUCUCUGCUUAUCUGAGUCAUGCCUCAAGAUCUCAGGGACUUGGUACCUUUAUACAUCAUGCUAUCUUGUUAGUUCAAGAAAAUGACAUGCUUGUCUACAGUAGUACUUCUAUGUUAUGAACUUGAGAUUUGGCAAGAAAGUUUACUCAAGUACUCUUUUUUCUUAUUAGAUAACUGUGCGGGAAGCAUUGAAUUCUGCGCUAGAUGAAGAAAUGUCUGCAGAUCCUUCUGUUUUCUUGAUGGGAGAAGAGGUGCCGCCAGUAACUGAACUUGUUUCUUUUGUUCUCCCCUCUGCUUCUUUUGGUUUAAUAAUUGUCACUUCUGUGGUAGGUUGGGGAGUACCAAGGUGCAUACAAGGUCAGUAGUAUUUCUAAGAAGAUUUAUGCUGCAUUUUAUCUCCCUGUGGCAACUGAAAAGUAAUAUGAAUGCUGUUAGUGUUGAGCUUCUCUUCAUUGGUGUUCGUUGCAGAUAUCCAAGGGUUUGCUUGACAAAUAUGGCCCUGAUAGGGUUCUCGAUACACCAAUCACUGAGGUAAUAAACCUGAAAAAAACCAAUCACCAUUGUCCAUUCAUAAGCUUCAGGUUGAUUUGGUCACACACUAAUACUGAUCUGCUUUGGUCCUGUUCAGGCUGGCUUUACUGGUAUUGGUGUUGGUGCUGCCUACCAUGGUCUUCGACCUAUAGUAGAGUUCAUGACAUUUAACUUUUCAAUGCAGGUUAGUUUUUUCAAUCAUGUCUGCAAAUCAUUGUGCGCAUUCAAUUAGUUCUUUUGUUUACUUGACUUGGAAUGUGAUUUAUUCCUUCCCUUUUUUUUUUUCAUAUUCCCAUUUGCUCCACAUGUUCCUGAAUUUUAGAAAAUUCAUGUUUUAUGCAGUACCUUAUUUCAGACAUGUUUCUCUUUUCCCAUCUCUAAGCUGCAUAAAUUCUAAUAGCUACCGAUGACAUCUUUUAAGUAGCACCUCAUGCAAGAAAGUAUAUCUUUGUGUAAUUUUGAUGUUAAAUUGUUCGGAGACAUUCUUCUCUUAGCAAAACUUACAUGAUUCCCAUGCAUCAGUUUACAAUCAUAUAAUAAAACCACUGGAAUAGACGAAUAGUUAUGAUUCAUAUUGAUCCGGUCACUGAAUCAGACGCUCGGUAUAAUCUGAUAUGAAGUCCUUGCAUGGUGAUUUCCUUUGUGUUAACAUUCCUUUUCCUGCAAGAAUAUUGUUCACGAUUUCGAUACUGUUCUCCAUCUGGUGGCACCUUGUUGUAUUUAUUUGUUUUUUGCUUACCUUUGUGCAAUAAUGCCCACGUUCUUGACUUCUUCCCAUAUUGUGGAUCUUUGAGAAUGAGUACAUGCUACAAAUUUCACAUGCUUAAAACCAAAAUCCCUUGACUGUACCCUUUUGCAUAUUCAGGCAAUUGAUCACAUCAUUAAUUCAGCUGCCAAGUCGAACUACAUGUCAGCUGGUCAGAUAUCUGUUCCUAUUGUCUUCAGAGGGCCAAAUGGCGCUGCUGCUGGAGUUGGUGCUCAACACUCGCAGGUUGUUUGCAGAAACUUGCCUCUAUUUGGUUGUUUCACCGUUGUUGAUUCCUUAGAAUGCAGAAAAUCAUGGAAUACCUGGUUCUGUAACAAAUAGAAUGAAUUGUAGAACCAAAUUGUUCAUUACAUGAGCUGUUUGUCUCCUAUACUCGAAUAUUUUGUUUAACGUUUCUCCUCAAAAUAAAAAUAAAAGUGUUCAACUGAGUAAUAGGUGUAAGCUUGGUGUACUUUAAUUUCUUGCAGUGCAUAAUGUCUUGUGGGUAUCUGUUUUAUGCAGUGCUAUGCAGCUUGGUAUGCUCAUGUUCCUGGAUUGAAAGUUCUAGCACCAUAUUCUGCAGAAGAUGCUCGAGGUUUGCUGAAAGCAGCAAUCAGGGAUCCAGAUCCUGUUGUUUUCCUGGAAAAUGAACUUCUGUAUGCAAUACUUGCCCCAUUCGUCUUUUUUCUCUAUGCUUGUGUUCACAUCUCAUCAUAUAAUGUAUUUUCCUGCAGAUAUGGCGAAUCAUUUCCUGUUUCUGAUGAGGUACUCGAUUCUAGCUUCUGCCUUCCAAUCGGCAAGGCUAAGGUAUGUCUUUGUAUUUAUGUAGCGGUAGUGAAUUGUUCGAUUUGAUCAGACUUCUCCUGAUGGAUUGUCUGGAAGAAUCUUAUUUUUUGUUUUCUUUUUUCUUUUUUUGGUGUAGAUAGAGAGACAAGGAAAAGAUGUUACAAUCACUGCAUUCUCUAAGAUGGUCGGAUAUGCUCUUCAGGUGUGUGAAUUCCAGAUUUCUUAAGCAGAUUGUGUUGAAUUCCAUUAUUUGUCUAUCAUGUCUUAUAUUUCUGGGGGGAAUUGAACAUGCUACUGAUAAAGAAUGUGAUUCUAAUUUGCUUCUGUUUUUGAAAUAUUUUCAUGUGAAAAUUGCCAACUAGAUUGAUAUGUAACACAUGUUUUGGAUCAUUUACCUAGCCUUGCUUAUGAAUGGUAGGAGGUAUGAUACAUGUUUGGUUUCUUUCCUUACCUUGCUUUUGGGAAUGAUAAGCAAUGAUUUCCGUUUCCUUGCUUCUGAGGUUGACUGUCCCCCACUAGUAAAGUUUUCCUCAUGAAUCUCUGUUAUAUGAGCCAUUCCAUUUUUAAAAUUAUAGCUAUAUUCUAUUUCAGUUUUGAACAAAACAAUUUGUUUUGGGGUGAGAUCUACUUAGUUGACCAGAUCUAUCAAUGCAAUAGCUAUGUAAAAUAUAUCCAGUUGAUGUUCUGGUGGCAUUCUCACGUACUGUCAUUUUUCAGGCUGCAGAUAUACUGGCCAAGGAGGGUAUCAGUGCUGAGGUAAUUUCCUUUUGUCAUUCUUAGUACAGUUUUACGCUACCAGAUACCUCUCUUUUCGGAUGGAGUCCAUCAUCAUUUCCUUAUGCUUUAGUAAUUUUGUGUUCAGGUAAUCAAUCUUCGUUCAAUUAGACCGCUGGAUAGAGCCACUAUUAAUGCAUCUGUGAGGAAAACCAAUAGAUUGGUAACAGUAGAAGAAGGCUUCCCACAACACGGGAUUGGCGCUGAAAUAUGGUGGGUCUCUCGUUUCUCCCACCCUUCCUAUGCAUGGUCUUUGUCUCUAAUAAUGGGUUGAAAUGUGUCUUGUUUGCAGCAUGUCUGUUGUGGAGGACAGCUUUGAGUAUCUUGAUGCGCCAGUUGAGAGGAUUGCUGGAGCUGAUGUGCCCAUGCCCUACGCUGCCAACCUAGAGAGGAUGGCUGUUCCACAGGUCCAUACUGACUAUUCUUUUGCUAUCAUUCCAAGUUUGCAUAGGAGUUUGUGGUUCUACAAAAGUAAUGGCAUGGCGGUUUCAAUAGCAGAGUAACACGACUACUAUGCCACGGUUUCAGUUUUCUUGCUUAUACCAUUUAUUUUAGCCUGCACCCUGUACAAUUGAUUAUUGGCGUGCAGCCUUUUGACAAAACAAUAUUUUUUUAAUGGUAUAGCUGUAUUGCGAAACACGGUCCUAGUUGUGUGACAUAAGUUGGUAGGUUCUGAGGUGCAUGAGAAAAUUGUAGCAAACAGUUGGCAGAUCCUGAAGAAAGAGGUACUAGUAUCCCAUAAUCUCUGGUAGGCACGUGAGAAUAGCUGGAAGAUCUUGAGAGGUCAAUAUUCAGAAAUAUCUGUAGGGGAUAGAGUUAUGGAAAUUGACUCUGAAAAGAUAGUAUGGCUGUGGAAUUAGUCUAUGUCAUUGAAUGUAGUAGGAUCUCGUGCUUGACCAUUUCUCCGUUCUCAUUGUGCCUAUUGUUAUUACCACACUUGCAGGUCGAUGACAUUGUCCGAGCAGCGAAGAGGGCUUGCUACAGGGUGGUACCAAUGGCGGCAACAGCCUGAUUCACCCCGUUCCUCAACCUUCCAUUCCGUUGUCUAUGUCCAGAAAGAUGUGUGGCAUAAUGGUACGAGUAGAGUACUCCCUACCGCUCCAAUUCAAGUAGCGUGAGCUGAUUUUGUAGAGCAACCAUGAGGUGUCCAGUUCCGUU
rnacentral:lncRNA from 1 species